GACGAACGCUGGCGGCGCGCCUAACACAUGCAAGUCGAACGAGAGAGAAGGAGCUUACUUCUUCGAUCGAGUGGCGAACGGGUGAGUAACGCGUGAGGAACCUGCCUCAAAGAGGGGGACAACAGUUGGAAACGACUGCUAAUACCGCAUAAGCCCACGGGUCGGCAUCGACCAGAGGGAAAAGGAGCAAUCCGCCUUGAGAUGGCCUCGCGUCCGAUUAGCUAGUUGGUGAGGUAAUGGCCCACCAAGGCGACGAUCGGUAGCCGGACUGAGAGGUUGAACGGCCACAUUGGGACUGAGACACGGCCCAGACUCCUACGGGAGGCAGCAGUGGGGAAUAUUGCACAAUGGGGGAAACCCUGAUGCAGCGACGCCGCGUGGAGGAAGAAGGUCUUCGGAUUGUAAACUCCUGUUGUUGAGGAAGAUAAUGACGGUACUCAACAAGGAAGUGACGGCUAACUACGUGCCAGCCGCCGCCGUAA
rnacentral:rRNA from 1 species